rnacentral:rRNA from 1 species
GAAUGCUGACAUAAGUAACGAUAAAGCGGGUGAAAAGCCCGCUCGCCGGAAGACCAAGGGUUCCUGUCCAACGUUAAUCGGGGCAGGGUGAGUCGACCCCUAAGGCGAGGCCGAAAGGCGUAGUCGAUGGGAAACGGGUUAAUAUUCCCGUACUUGGUGUUACUGCGAAGGGGGGACGGAGAAGGCUAUGUUGGCCGGGCGACGGUUGUCCCGGUUUAAGCGUGUAGGUGUGUGUUCCAGGUAAAUCCGGUUCACUUUAACACUGAGGCGUGACGACGAGGCACUACGGUGCUGAAGCAACAAAUGCCCUGCUUCCAGGAAAAGCCUCUAAGCAUCAGGUAACAUCAAAUCGUACCCCAAACCGACACAGGUGGUCAGGUAGAGAAUACCAAGGCGCUUGAGAGAACUCGGGUGAAGGAACUAGGCAAAAUGGUGCCGUAACUUCGGGAGAAGGCACGCUGACACGUAGGUGAAGUGAUUUACUCAUGGAGCUGAAGUCAGUCGAAGAUACCAGCUGGCUGCAACUGUUUAUUAAAAACACAGCACUGUGCAAACACGAAAGUGGACGUAUACGGUGUGACGCCUGCCCGGUGCCGGAAGGUUAAUUGAUGGGGUCAGCGCAAGCGAAGCUCCUGAUCGAAGCCCCGGUAAACGGCGGCCGUAACUAUAACGGUCCUAAGGUAGCGAAAUUCCUUGUCGGGUAAGUUCCGACCUGCACGAAUGGCGUAAUGAUGGCCAGGCUGUCUCCACCCGAGACUCAGUGAAAUUGAACUCGCUGUGAAGAUGCAGUGUACCCGCGGCAAGACGGAAAGACCCCGUGAACCUUUACUAUAGCUUGACACUGAACAUUGAGCCUUGAUGUGUAGGAUAGGUGGGAGGCUUUGAAGCGUGGACGCCAGUCUGCGUGGAGCCGACCUUGAAAUACCACCCUUUAAUGUUUGAUGUUCUAACGUGGACCCGUAAUCCGGGUUGCGGACAGUGUCUGGUGGGUAGUUUGACUGGGGCGGUCUCCUCCUAAAGAGUAACGGAGGAGCACGAAGGUUGGCUAAUCCUGGUCGGACAUCAGGAGGUUAGUGCAAUGGCAUAAGCCAGCUUGACUGCGAGCGUGACGGCGCGAGCAGGUGCGAAAGCAGGUCAUAGUGAUCCGGUGGUUCUGAAUGGAAGGGCCAUCGCUCAACGGAUAAAAGGUACUCCGGGGAUAACAGGCUGAUACCGCCCAAGAGUUCAUAUCGACGGCGGUGUUUGGCACCUCGAUGUCGGCUCAUCACAUCCUGGGGCUGAAGUAGGUCCCAAGGGUAUGGCUGUUCGCCAUUUAAAGUGGUACGCGAGCUGGGUUUAGAACGUCGUGAGACAGUUCGGUCCCUAUCUGCCGUGGGCGCUGGAGAACUGAGGGGGGCUGCUCCUAGUACGAGAGGACCGGAGUGGACGCAUCACUGGUGUUCGGGUUGUCAUGCCAAUGGCACUGCCCGGUAGCUAAAUGCGGAAGAGA